GGAUCAAUUUGUUGGUCGUGCCUCGGUACGUACUGGCAUUAUUGGUUUCUACCUUCUGAAGAACCUUGAUGUCAUUAAUUUGGUGUCUUGGGGAAUCAGGACUGUUACUUUGAAAAAAUUAGAGUGUUUAAAGCAGGCAUACGCUUGAAUACAUUAGCAUGGAAUAAUGAAAUAGGACGUUUGAUUCUAUUUUGUUGGUUUCUAGGAUCGACGUAAUGAUUA
rnacentral:rRNA from 1 species